AGUCAAGUGACGCGAAGCGGCCGGCCUGGGCGCCGACUGCAGAGCCGGGAGGCUGGUGGUCAUGCCGGGGUUCCUGGUUCGCAUCCUUCCUCUGCUGCUGGCUCUGCUGCUUCUGGGCCCUACGCGCGGCUUGCGCGCAGCAACAUCACAGAUGCUUUCCUAAGCCAGAGGAAGUGUGAGCCCAAAGGACCCUUGAUCAAUUCUGAAUUCUAUACUGGCUGGCUAGACCACUGGGGCCAACCUCAUUCCACAAUCAAGACCGAAGCAGUGGCUUCCUCCCUCUAUGAUAUACUUGCCCGUGGGGCGAGUGUGAACUUGUACAUGUUUAUAGGUGGGACCAAUUUUGCCUAUUGGAAUGGGGCCAACUCACCCUAUGCAGCACAGCCCACCAGCUACGACUAUGAUGCCCCACUGAGUGAGGCUGGGGACCUCACUGAGAAGUAUUUUGCUCUGCGAAACAUUAUCCAGAAGUUUGAAAAAGUACCAGAAGGUCCUAUCCCUCCAUCUACACCAAAGUUUGCAUAUGGAAAGGUCGCUCUGGAAAAGGUAA
rnacentral:sRNA from 1 species